AUAUUAUUAACCGGAGGAAAAGAAACUAACAAGGAUUCCCUCAGUAAGGGCGACUGAAGCGGGAGAAGCUCAACUUGAAAAUCGGGGUUCCUGCGGGACUUCGAGUUGUAGUCUAGAGACGACACGUCAGCGAGCGGCCUGGGUAUAAAUCUUUUGGAACAAGGUAUCAUAGAGGGUGAGAAUCCCGUCUUUGACCCGGAGACUGCCGCGUUCGAUGUGCGUUCACAGAGUCGAGCUGUUUGGUAUUGCAGCUCUAAAUGGGUGGUAAAUUUCAUCUAAAGCUAAAUAUCGACGGGAGACCGAUAGCGCACAAGUA
rnacentral:rRNA from 1 species